GAGACAUGCCAGCAGUCGUCCAGUGCUCGGGCUCGGGAGAUGGGGAGAGGUUUUCUAUACAAGUGGGACCGGUUGCCUAACGAGAGGCUGGACUUGAAUGAGAGCCAGACGCAAGGCGACAUUAACUGACUGCCCCAGUGCAGGGCCCAGACAGAGAAAGACAAGAACGAGGGUGCGGGCUGUCAUCCUGGGGAGGACCUGCAGGGCACAGAGGCGGGGAAGGACCUGUUGAAGAGGUAUGCAGACAAGAAGGUCAUCUCCUUCGAGGAAUACUGGGAGCUGGUCGCCUUUGUCUGCCAAACCAUCCAGUGUAACAAUUACAGCAAACGUGGAAGGAAGCCGGCCGAGAUGGCUGGGAAAUGCUCUGAGCUGGAGAAAGGCCUCUAUGCCAUCGUGGGCAGCUUCUACAAAUACGCUAAAGAGAAAGGCGGAGCCCAGGUGCUGGACCAGGCGGCUUUCCAGAAGUUGCUCAGCAACGAGCUGAGCCAUCAGCUCACGGUGAGACCCGNCUUUCCAGAAGUUGCUCAGCAAUGAGCUGAGCCAUCAGCUCACGGUGAGACCCGGCUACUUGCCAAUUGCUCACUGAUGGCAAAGGAGGGGUCUGGCAGUGCCCCUCAAUCC
rnacentral:lncRNA from 1 species